AUUCAGGAACGCUGUCCCGACCUGAUGGAUGAUGCCAGCGUUGUCCAGUUGCGUUACAUGAAGCUGCUGGACGAGUACAGGAAGUGUACUUCUGCCUUUGGCCAUUGCAGGAAGGUCACACGAGCAGAGGUUGAAGAGCUGGAAUCCAACAUCAGGACCUUCCUCAAGUCAGCACGGAAGGAGGUGGUCGAUCGAGGGCUUGGCCACAUAACGCCGAAGCUUCAUCUUCUGGAGAGCCACACCGCUCCGGCAAUGGAGAGGC